AUUGAACGCUGGCGGCAGGCCUAACACAUGCAAGUCGAGCGGAUGAGAGGAGCUUGCUCCUUGAUUUAGCGGCGGACGGGUGAGUAAUGCCUAGGAAUCUGCCUGGUAGUGGGGGAUAACGUUCCGAAAGGAACGCUAAUACCGCAUACGUCCUACGGGAGAAAGCAGGGGACCUUCGGGCCUUGCGCUAUCAGAUGAGCCUAGGUCGGAUUAGCUAGUUGGUGAGGUAAUGGCUCACCAAGGCGACGAUCCGUAACUGGUCUGAGAGGAUGAUCAGUCACACUGGAACUGAGACACGGUCCAGACUCCUACGGGAGGCAGCAGUGGGGAAUAUUGGACAAUGGGCGAAAGCCUGAUCCAGCCAUGCCGCGUGGGUGAAGAAGGUCUUCGGAUUGUAAAGCACUUUAAGUUGGGAGGAAGGGCAGUAAGCUAAUACCUUGCUGUUUGGACGUUACCGACAGAAUAAGCACCGGCUAACUUCGU
rnacentral:rRNA from 1 species